rnacentral:rRNA from 1 species
ACGUACACUAGCUCGCAUCGUUUACGGCUAGGACUACCGGGUAUCUAAUCCGGUUCGUGCCUAGCUUUCGUCCUCACCGUCGGACCGUUCUAGCAAGACGCUUCGCCACUGCGGUCCUCAAGGAUACAGGAUUUCACUCCUACCCUGAAGUACCUCUUGCCUCUCCCGGUCCCAAGACCAGCAGUAUCCACUGGCAGCCUUACGGUUAAGCCGUAAGAUUUCCCAAUGGACUAACUGGUCCGGGCUACGGACCCUUUAAGCCCAAUAAUAGCGGCCACCACUUGAGCCGCCGGUGUUACCGCGGCGGGCUGGCACCGGUCUUGCCCGGCUCUUAUUCCACAUGCUUUUUAGGCAUGUGAAAAGCGUACGCAUUGCGCACGCACUCGAGGUCCCCUUAUCGCGCUUUCGCGCAGUGUAAAGUUUUCGCGCCUGCUGCGCCCCGUAGGACCUGGAUUCGUGUCUCAGAAUCCAUCUCCGGGCUCUUGCUCUCACAACCCGUACCGAUUAUCGGCUUGUUGGGACGUUACCCCAGCAACUACCUAAUCGGCCGCAGACCCAUCCUCAGACGCUAAAGCUUUGAACCAUAAGGCAUUCCAGCGUUCACGGAUUAUCCGGUAUUAUCUCCAGUUUCCCGGAGUUAUCCCAGAUCUGAGGGUAGGUUGUCCACGUGUUACUGAGCCGUAAGGGCGAAUUCCAGCACACUGGCGGCCGUUACUAGUGGAUCCGAGCUCGGUACCAAGCUUGGC